AAGUCGUAACAAGGUCUCCGUUGGUGAACCAGCGGAGGGAUCAUUAAUGAGUUAUAAACUCCUAAAACCCACUGUGAACAUACCAUUCUGUUGCCUCGGCAGGUUAUGCUUCUACCCUGUAGCUGCUACCCUGUAGGACCUACCCUGGACCUACCCCGUAGCUGCUACCCGGUAAGCACGCUAAACGGCCUGCCGGCGGUCUUCUAAACUCUUGUCAGUUAUUGUGAAAUUCUGAAUAUCUAAAACAUAAUAAGUUAAAA
rnacentral:misc_RNA from 1 species